UAGAGAGUCAAGGGGCGAUAAUUAAUGGGUGGAGAGAGAAGGGAGGAGAGAAGGGCAUCGAGAGAGAGGAGCGGGGAGAGGCAGGAGGGGAGGAUCCCAAGCUGCGGGAGCGGUCGGGCGCCGCUUCGGGGGCGGGUGGAGCGGCCGCCGCAGGGGCCGGUCCUUCUACCGACCGCCGAAAGCCCACGACGUAGAACAGUCCGGGAAGAACCGAAAGAACGGCCUUCACGUCUCACGACUGUCCUUUUAUGGUAAAUCUCUUUUUCACUAGAUGUGGCAGUAAAGAGAGAAGUAAAAGGACCACACGUCAGUCGAGGGCGAGAUACCGUAGGUAAGUUGGUGACCUCGACUAGGAAAGAUGACCUACGCACAAUAAGAACGUAGUUUGGCACCAUGACAGUACCUUGACCCAUAAUGGGGUUAACACUGUAGACCUUACCAAUACGUUGAAGAUCACCCUAGGUUCUAAUAACUUCAACUGUUGUCACACUCUCUCCUAGCACGAGACGACUUACCACGUGUCUUUAACGACCCAUAGGACUAACGGUAACCCCUUCGACACCGUAUACAAGACAGACCUUACAUACCGUCACACUCGGUUGAACCUUGACCUUUACGGUAAGAGUAGUAUGAAGUCGAAAAGAAACGACCGUAGUAACAGUAGACAGAUCUACUUGAAGAGGUCUUUCCGAUACCAAACCCAAGACCGUAAAGAGAGAAGUAACGAUGGUUAUAGACACUCUUAUAGUAAACCUUCCGUAAGUCGGGAUGGUGGUAGUUGUCACCUGCACCACGACUUAAACUUCCCCGACAGUAACGUAACAAGGUAGACAACUAAUGAGCUAGUCUGUUUCAGGCACGGGAUGCUCUUCGAAAGAUGGCAGUCUUAGACGGUUUACACUGGUUAAACGAACGAUGACAGGACCAGAAAGAGUAUCAAUAGAUAAAGGUUCCGAAGGCGCAACACGAAGGUCACUCCAGUUUCUUACGAGCACCCGUCGUUCCAAGUAUGGGUUAAUUCGACAAGAUGUGAAGGUUGUACGGGUAGUAAGACGUGAGACGGGAAUAAUGGUUGGACAUAAAGUAUAGGGUCGAAGAGAUGUCCUUCAUGUCACCUUUGAAAGACCAAUUGGAAGAGCCAUAUACCUUUCUUAGACUUAUAAGACCGGUAAGAUAGGGACAACCACCAGAACGAAUGAUACAUUGACGUGGUAGUUCAUACCGACUAUAAGACCGCUUAGGUAAGGUACGUAACAAGAUACACCAGAAGUACGACAGUCGUACACGAGAGAAGAGUUUUUGUACCUAACUUCAGAGACCAAGUAGUCGGUUCCUACAACGCUUCGUCGACUUCCUUGUUGUUUACCACUACGGUCCGGUAGCACUCAGUUUGGACGUCUUCCUUGACUUGUCUAUGUAGGGAUGACGGCGACGUAAACCACCUCACACGUAGCCGCGUAACUGACAAGAGCGACUAAAGUACCCGCGUUAACCAAGUCCUUGGCCAUAAGACAACCGACAAUGGUAGUAUAUGGUCAUGAAACUCUGGAAGCUCUUCCUCUCCCGCUGUCUCGAACCAAAGAAGCCCAAAACUAACUAUGUACUAUCGAAACCCUCGUACAAUACCGAUGUCGUGUCGAACUCAGAAAGAUCUGUCAGCGUCGUGACGAACCGACCGACCGACAACACCAACAUUGGCCUCUAAUUUAAGACAAAUCCAAUGGGGCUGAAUAAAUGUCAACUCUUUAGACAUCUACGACGCACACAAGAAGUCCGGUCAAUACCACCACCUGGCCAGGUUCGUGCCCGCACCGGCAGUGGACAGUAGAAGGCAUCUGAAGAGUACAAAAACUGAUAUAUCGUUGACUUACAAAACCCUGGUUAAAUCAGUAGAACUCGACCAUAUACAAAAAGAACGGACGCUGGGAACAAUUAGAGAGGCUAUGAAAGUUGACAGCUCAUCCAAAAACACACAAAACAUAAUGGAUACAAGGACUUAUAUUCAGCAACCCCCUCAAGUCAAAAUGUGAGGGGUUGCUGAAUAUAAAUCCUUGCCUCCCUCAUCUUGUUUUUACGGACUGGGUCAGAGUAUCAUGAGACGCACACGUACAACUUACUCAAACGAGUCUUCAUUAUUGCAC
rnacentral:rRNA from 1 species